rnacentral:rRNA from 1 species
CCGCACGGGUGAGUAACACGUAUGCAAUCCACCUGUAACAGGGGGAUAACCCGGAGAAAUCCGGACUAAUACCCCAUAAUAUGGGCGCUCCGCAUGGAGAGCCCAUUAAAGAGAGCAAUUUUGGUUACAGACGAGCAUGCGCUCCAUUAGCCAGUUGGCGGGGUAACGGCCCACCAAAGCGACGAUGGAUAGGGGUUCUGAGAGGAAGGUCCCCCACAUUGGAAUUGAGACACGGUCCAA